GAUCCUGGCUCAGAUUGAACGCUGGCGGCAUGCCUUACACAUGCAAGUCGAACGGUAACAGGGAGCUUGCUCCGCUGACGAGUGGCGAACGGGUGAGUAAUAUAUCGGAACGUACCAUUCAGUGGGGAUAACGUAGCGAAAGUUGCGCUAAUACCGCAUAUUCUGUGAGCAGGAAAGCAGGGGAUCGCAAGACCUUGCGCUGAUUGAGCGGCCGAUAUCAGAUUAGCUUGUUGGUGAGGUAAAAGCUCACCAAGGCGACGAUCUGUAGCGGGUCUGAGAGGAUGAUCCGCCACACUGGAACUGAGACACGGUCCAGACUCCUACGGGAGGCAGCAGUGGGGAAUUUUGGACAAUGGGGGCAACCCUGAUCCAGCCAUGCCGCGUGAGUGAAGAAGGCCUUCGGGUUGUAAAGCUCUUUCAGCCGGGAAGAAAACGCAUGGGUUAAUACCCUGUGUGGAUGACGGUACCGGAAUAAGAAGCACCGGCUAACUACGUGCCAGCAGCCGCGGUAAUACGUAGGGUGCGAGCGUUAAUCGGAAUUACUGGGCGUAAAGCGUGCGCAGGCGGUUUUGUAGGACAGGCGUGAAAUCCCCGGGCUUAACCUGGGAACUGCGUUUGUGACUGCAAGGCUAGAGUACGGCAGAGGGGGGUGGAAUUCCACGUGUAGCAGUGAAAUGCGUAGAGAUGUGGAGGAACACCAAUGGCGAAGGCAGCCCCCUGGGUCGAUACUGACGCUCAUGCACGAAAGCGUGGGUAGCAAACAGGAUUAGAUACCCUGGUAGUCCACGCCCUAAACGAUGUCAACUAGGUGUUGGGAGGGUAAAACCUUUUAGUACCGGAGCUAACGCGUGAAGUUGACCGCCUGGGGAGUACGGCCGCAAGGUUAAAACUCAAAGGAAUUGACGGGGACCCGCACAAGCGGUGGAUGAUGUGGAUUAAUUCGAUGCAACGCGAAAAACCUUACCUACCCUUGACAUGCCAAGAACUUUCCAGAGAUGGAUUGGUGCCCGAAAGGGAACUUGGACACAGGUGCUGCAUGGCUGUCGUCAGCUCGUGUCGUGAGAUGUUGUGUUAAGUCCCGCAACGAGCGCAACCCUUGUCGUUAAUUGCCAUCAUUUAGUUGGGCACUUUAACGAGACUGCCGGUGACAAACCGGAGGAAGGUGGGGAUGACGUCAAGUCCUCAUGGCCCUUAUGGGUAGGGCUUCACACGUCAUACAAUGGUCGGUACAAAGGGUCGCCAAGCCGCGAGGUGGAGCCAAUCCCAGAAAGCCGAUCGUAGUCCGGAUCGCAGUCUGCAACUCGACUCGUGAAGUCGGAAUCGCUAGUAAUCGUGGAUCAGAAUGUCACGGUGAAUACGUUCCC
rnacentral:rRNA from 1 species